AGACAUCUAAAGUAGGGUUUUAUAAAAAACAAAACUCCCCUCACUAUCUUCUUUGGCUUCUCGCCUCUUUCUCUGCCUCUUUUCUUAUGAGAUAUGUUGUCGCCUUGGACUAAUCCAAGCCUUUGAUUUCUAUUGCUAUGGAUUAUCAACAGUCCAGAACUUCUAUUCUUUCGUGUUGGUGUGCCAGCUAACAAGAUUGUGUCUGCUCUCAGGUUAUAUGGAUUGUGCUCCUAAUUUGCUGACAAAUCUUAUCUAUUGAAGAGAUUCUUCUUCACUUUGGCAAGCCAGAGGCAGAAGCAUUACACACAUUUAUUACAGGUACUUUUCUCAAGUGUGACUAGAUGACCACUAUUUUAUUAGAUCCCGCCUCUGCUUUUUCUUAUGUGUCUGUUAAAUUUGCGGUUAAAAUAGACACGGGUCUAUGAUUUCCUUGAUACCCAUGUUUAUGUGUCUACCAUAGUAGGUAACUCUAUCUUUGUAGAUAAAGUGUACCAUUAUUGUCCUGUGAUGUUUAUAGGUUAUUUAGCUAGGGAAAAUUCAGUAAUCCUUAAUAUGGUGAAUUUGAUAUCAUCAUAGAGAUGAGUUGGGUAUCUUCUUAUCAUGAAAUUUUGUAUUGUCGUGUAAAAACAGUGAUUGUAGCUAUGUCGUGGAUAGCUAGAAUUGAGUGAAAAAUUACUAUAAUCUUGUUUAUGUGAACAUGUUGGAGGGUCGGUACCAUACUUGAACGGUACAUAGAUGAAGCCCGUAUAUAUUAUGAUAGCACAUAUAUAAUUCAACAUCCAAAUCAAUUCAAAUUAAACUAAAUUUGAAACAUAUAGGCUAUAUAUCAUAAAUUAAAAAAUAAAACUCAAAUCAUGUUAUGAUGAAUACACUUAAGGGUAUCUUACAUGUUGAUCCACACGUGAGUAGGAAAUUGAUUGCAAAUACCAACCCAUAGAUUAUAGGCAUUAGUUCAAGUUCUUGACCUUAAGUCAACAACUCGGCCUAAUGACUAGGAUCUGCAUGUUCAUAUUUGCGAUCAAUUUAUUACUCAGUUGCGGGGGGUCAACAAGUAAGAUACCCUUGGGAGCGUUCUUAUAAAAUGAUUUGUGUUUGUCCUUUAAUUUAUGAUAUACUGCACAUAUGUUCGAAAUUUAGUUUAUUGAGAAUGUCACACUAACACUAUAUUUUUUAGGCUAUCAACACAUGCUUAGUAUAGACGAUACUACAAGUAACUAGUCUCGUGUUAGUGCUGAAAAAUCUCUGUAUUAUUAGUGUAUAUAAACUGAAAUUUCAUUUAUUCGAUAAUCAAUACCAGUUGAUCCUAUACAUGUGAUCGAACACAAUAAUUGGUACACUAGAAGAGUGUCCUUCUCGAUCCUCUACUACUAGGAAAAGGUCCUCUCAAUGAUCUAAUACCCGCACUGGAUGUAAAAUAAAAAAAAAUUGCAAUAGCUUGACAUCCAUUGCCCAAUAUGGAUUACUCAACCUCUUAUUCUAUAUACAAAAAUCAGAUUGUCCCGUAUCUAUUAUGAUAACACAUAUAUAAUUUAACAUCUAAAUUUAUUCUAAUUAAACUAAAUUUAAAACAUAUACAGUUAUAUCAUACAUUAAUAAAUAAACCUCAAUCAUUUUAUGGUGACAACACCCAAGGGUAUCCUACAUGUAGAUCCACCAGCAUAUGAGUAGGCAAUUGAUCGGAAAUACCAACUGGUACAUUGUAGGCAUUAGUUCAAGUUCUUGACUUAAGCCAAAUACUCGGCCUAAUCAUUAGAAUCUGCAUGUUCAUAUUUGCGAUCAAUUUCUUACACAGUUGCGGGGGGUCAACACGUAGGAUACCCUUGGGAGCGUCCUCAUUAUAUGAUUUGCGUUUGUUUUUAAAUUAUGAUAUACUGCACAUAUGUUCCAAAUUUAUUUUAUUUAGAAUGUCACACUAACACUAUAUUUUUUAGGUUAUCAAUACAUGCUUAGUAUAGAAGAAACUACAUGUAAUUAAUCUCGUGUUAGUGCUGAAAAAUCUGUGUUAUUUGUGUAUAUAAAUUAAAAUUUCAUUCAUUUCAUAACCAAUACCUAGUUGAACCUAUACAUAUGAUCGAAAAUGAUAAUUGAUACAUUAUAGGAGUGUCCUUCUUGAUCUUAUAGUAAUAUGAAAAGGUCCUCUCAAUAUUCUAAUACUCGGCACUGGAUGUAGAAAAACAAAUGCAAUAACUUGACAUCCAUUGGCCAAUAUAGACCUUUACUCUACCUUUUAUUGUAUAUACAAAAAUCAGAUUGUCCUGUUUAUAUUAUGAUAGCACAUAUAUAAUUUAACAUCCAAAUAUAUUUUAAUUAGACUAAAUUUGAAACAUAUACGCUAUAUGUCAUAAAUUAAAAAAUAAACCUCAAUCAUUUUAUAAUAACAACAUUUCCGAGGGAAUCCUUAAGUUCAUCCCCGCAGGUGAGUAGGCAAUUGAUCGCACAUAUCAACCGGUUGAUGUAGGCAUUAGUUCAAUUUCUUGACUUAGGUCAAAAACUCGGCCUAAUGACUAGAAUCUGCAUGUUCAUAUUUGCGAUCAAUUUCCUACACAGUUGCAGGGGGGUCAACAAGUAGGGUAUCCUUGGGAGUGUCAUCAUAACGUGAUUUUCGUUUGCUCUUUAAUUUAUGAUAUAUUGCACAUAUGUUCCAAACUUUAGUUUAUUUAGAAUGUCACACUAACACUUUAUUUUUAGGUUAUCAACACAUGCUUAGUAUAGACGAUAGUGCAUGAAAUUAAUCUUGUGUUAGUGCUGAAAAACCUCUAUGUUAUAUUUGUAUACAGAUUGAAUUUUCAUUUAUUGUAUAACCAGUGCCAAGUUGAUUCUAUACAUGUGAUCGAACACGAUAAUUGGUACACUGGGGGAGUGUCCUUUACAAUUCUUUAAUACUAGAAAAAAGUCCCCUCAAUGUUCUAAUACCCUCACUGAACCAAUCGGUUGAAGAGGCUACUUGGGAUACCGAAGCAGACAUGUGCAAGAAGUAUUCCUAAUUAUUCAUCGAUUCAUUAUUUAUCUAUAUGUUUGGAAGCAAGGAGAAGUCUAUAAGGUGAAGCUUGGGAAUUUACUCUGUCAAGACUUGGUAUGUCCUCAUAUAUUCGAGGACAUAGUCUAUGUUUUCUUAGUUUAUUUAAGAGUUAUUAUGUAUUAUGUAAAGGGCCGUGUCCCUAAGAUAAUUAUGUCGUGUCUUUAAGUUUGGCUUGUGACGAUGAGACUUUCUUAGUAUUUUAUGAAAGAUGUUUCUUUUAUUAAAUUAUUCGUGAAAAGUUUUAAUUCCACUACUUUUCAUGUCUUAUGUAAUGAACGAUAGUUAAAUGAUUGUACAAGACCCCAAAAGGUCGAGUACGUCUUGUGACGAUUCAAGGGUUCUCCCUAUCUUCUAGGGGGUACUUGCGGAUCGUUACAUUAAAAUAACCAAGCGAUAAAAUGAAACAAAGAAAACCUAGAAGUGGGAGAGAAUUGAAACAUACAAAUUGUUUACUGAUAAAGUAUAAAGACAGAAAAAGAACAUUUGAUAAAAACAAGUGGAGAAACAUGUAAUGAACAUAAAUCUAGAGGUGGAAAAAAUCAAAAGGUAAAUGUCAAAAGUGUCAGUAAAUGAAGUUUCACUUUAGUUACCAUUAAACACACAUGUUAAUACAUUUACAAAAUCACACUUCUAAUAUAGUAGAAUAUGCAGGUGAAGAAAUAUCGUGGUCUAUGAAAUUAUUGCACAAAAAACACAAAAUGGACUUCACUAAGGAUUGUGAUGAAUGAGAUAAGAUAUUUUCAUACUUAAUUAGCUAAGAAUUUUGAUAUAAAUUUGGAUGAUGGUUUUAUUUAAUCAAUGAACUUUUAAUAAAAAGCACUUUCCCCGUUCUAUGUUUUAAAUGAUGGAGGGGACUAAAGAUCCCCCAAUUUUUUCAAAAGCAAAUAUUGUUAUUUUAUUAAUAAUUUCAACAUCAAAAAACAAACACCACCUCGAAAGUAGCCCAAACAACAAAAACACAUAAAAGAAUAACAUUCUAUUCUACCCCCAAUCCAACUCUUACCCGGAUGGAGCUAUAUAUAGAUACUUAGAGUAGGGUUUCAUAAAACAGAUCCCCUCAUUAUCUUCUUUUCUCAACUCUUUCUCUGUUUCUUUUGUUAUGAGAUAUGUUGUCGCCUUGGAUUAAUCCAAGCCUUUGAUUUCUAUUUCUUUGGAUUAUCAACAACCCGGAGCUUCUAUGAUUUCGUGAUUGUGUGCCAGCUAACAAGAGUUUCAUGGGUCGUGGUCCUAAUUUGCUGGCAGAUCUUAUCUGUUGGAGAGAUGCUUCUUCACUUGGUAAGUCUUCACAAUUCUCAUUUUCGUUCUUUGCUCUCUAGCCUUUGUCUUCCUGUAGGUUGGAGUGCAUUUUGGUCCACCUCCUUGAAAAAGUAUUGAUAACUUUUUCUAUGAAGCGUCAAACACAUUUAUUACAGGUAUUAUUCUCAAGUGUGACUAUAUGGUCACUGUUCUAUAUGAUCCCGCCUCCACUUUAAUUUAAUCUUGUGUUAGUAUUGAAAAAUCUAUGUGUUAUUUGUGUAUAUAAAUUGAAAUUUCAUUUAUUCGUAAUUAAUAUCCUAGUUGAUCCUAUAAAUGUUAUCGAACACGAUAAUUGGUACUCUAGACAAGUGUCCUUCUCUAUCCUCUAGUACUAGGAAAAUAUAUUUUCAAUGUUCUAAUACCUGCACUAAAUGUAGAAAAAGAAUUGGAAUAGCCUGACAUCUUUUGGCCAAUGGGGACUUUUACUCAAUCUUUUAUUGUAUAUAUAAAAAUCGGAGUGUCCCAUGUAUUAUGAUUGCACAAGUAUAUUUUAACAUCCAAAUUUAUUCUAAUUGAACUAAAUUUGGAACAAAUACCAUAUAUAUAUCAUAAAUUAAAAAAUAAACCGCAAUCAUGUUAUGAUGACAACAUUCCCAAGAGUAUCCUACAUGUUGACCCCCUGCAAGUGAGUAGACAAUUGAUUGCAAAUACCAACCGGUAGAUUAUAGGCAUGAAGUCAAAUUUUUGACUUAAGUCAACAGCUCGGCCUGAUGACUAGAAUAUGCAUGAUCAUAUUUGCGAUCAAUUUCCAACCCAGCUGCGGGGUCAACAAGUAGGAUACCCUUGGGAGUGUCAUCAUAACAUGAAUUGCGUUUGUUCUUUAAACUAUGAUAUAUUGCACAUAUGUUCCAAAUUUAGUUUAUUUAGAAUGUCACACUAACACUUUAUUUUUCAGGUUAUCAACACAUGCUUAGUAUAUGUAAUUAAUCUCAUGUUAGUGUUGAAAAACAUGUGUGUUAUUUGUGUAUAUAAAUUGAAAUUUCAUUUAUUCCAUAACCAAUACCCCAUUGAUUCUAUACAUGUGAUCGAACACAAUAAUUAUUACACUAGAGGAUUGUCCUUUUCAAUCUUGUAGUACUAGGAAAAGGUCCUCUCAAUGUUCUAAUAUCCGACUGGAUGUAGAAAAAGAACUGCAAAAAGUUGACAUCCAUUGGCCAAUAUGGACCUUUACUCAACCUUAUAUUCUAUAUACAAAAAAUCAUCUCAAUUAAGAGAACAUGUCAAAUAUGAAAAUCAAAUUCAGCUUCUGUUCCAAAUGAUUUCUUACAAUGAGCAAUGGCUGCCUAAAUAGAAUUAUCCCUUCAAUAAAAUUUUCUAACGUCGUCAUCACAUACAUUGCUAUGCUUUGGUGACGUCUUAAUAGACUUGCCAUCAACUUAUUCGAUUGGUAAAAACCCUAAAAAUGAUUGAAUAUGUGAUUUUUAUGUGUUUUAGAUUAUGAACAAACUGAAUUUGUUCAAGAAAGGGAAAGGCUUUAGCUGGGAUAGCUUGCAUUCUGGUACCAUACUUGUAUACUACAUGGAUGGAGACAGUCCCAUAUAUAUUAUAAUUGCACAUAUAAUUUAACAUCCAAAUAUAUAUGAUUCAACUUCUCUUCAUUUCUCUUCUUUUCAUUUUUUUCAAGUUCUACCUUGGAUCGAAGACACGUGUCAUAGUUUAAAAUCAAUGGUUGAGAUUUAAUUAAUUAAAGUAAAGUUUCAACCAUAGUUAUUUACUUCCAUAUAUUUGCUUCUUAAAUAUUUAAAAAACAAAUAUAUGGAGAUAAAUAAUUAUGAUUAGGACUUUAGUUUAAUCAAUUAAAUCUCAACCAUUAAUUUCAAACUAUGACAUGUGUCUCCAAUGCAAGCUAGAACUUGAGAAAAAUGAAAAGAGGAGAAAUGAAGAGGAACCGGAUCCAAAUAUAAUGUAAUUAAUCUAAAUUUGGAACAUAUACGCUAUAUAUGAUAAAUUAAAAUACAAACCUCAAUUAUGUUAUGAUGUUAGUAAGCAAUUGGUUGCAAAUACCAAUGGGCUGAUUCUAGACAUUUUGCCAAUGUCAAGAACUCGGCCUAAUGUCUAGUCCAUUGGUAUUGGCCAUCAAUUGUCUACUCAGUUGUGGGGGUCAACAAGUAAGAUACCCUUAGGACAUUGUAAUCAUAACAUGAUUUGGACUUGUUAUUUAAUUUAUGAUAUAUAGAACAUAUGUUUCAAAUUAUGUUUACUUACAAUGUUCUGAACCCAACUCAUUAACCACAGAAACAAAAUUAUAAUAGUUCGACAUCCAUUGGCCAACUAUGGACCUUUACUCAACUUUUUAUUAUAUAUAUACAAAAAUCAUCUCAAUUAAGAGAACACUGUC
rnacentral:lncRNA from 1 species